GACGAAGGGGGCUAGCGUUGUUCGGAAUUACUGGGCGUAAAGCGAGUGUAGGCGGUUGCCCAAGUCAGGUGUGAAAGCCUUGAGCUCAACUCAAGAAAUGCACUUGGUACUGGGUGGCUAGAGGACCGGAGAGGAUAGUGGAAUUCCCAGUGUAGUGGUGAAAUACGUAGAGAUUGGGAAGAACACCAGUGGCGAAGGCGGCUAUCUGGACAGUUCCUGACGCUGAGGCACGAAGGCCAGGGGAGCAAACGGG
rnacentral:rRNA from 1 species